CAAGGAUAGCAGAGGUGAAUCUCUGUCUCACCUGGAAGCGUUGUUUACAUCCCUGGAUGGCGAUGAGGGAGG